GAGCGGCGGACGGGUGAGUAAUGCCUAGGAAAUUGCCCUGAUGUGGGGGAUAACCAUUGGAAACGAUGGCUAAUACCGCAUAAUGCCUACGGGCCAAAGAGGGGGACCUUCGGGCCUCUCGCGUCAGGAUAUGCCUAGGUGGGAUUAGCUAGUUGGUGAGGUAAUGGCUCACCAAGGCGACGAUCCCUAGCUGGUCUGAGAGGAUGAUCAGCCACACUGGAACUGAGACACGGUCCAGACUCCUACGGGAGGCAGCAGUGGGGAAUAUUGCACAAUGGGCGCAAGCCUGAUGCAGCCAUGCCGCGUGUGUGAAGAAGGCCUUCGGGUUGUAAAGCACUUUCAGUCGUGAGGAAGGUGGUAGUGUUAAUAGCACUAUCAUUUGACGUUAGCGACAGAAGAAGCACCGGCUAACUCCGUGCCAGCAGCCGCGGUAAUACGGAGGGUGCGAGCGUUAAUCGGAAUUACUGGGCGUAAAGCGCAUGCAGGUGGUUUGUUAAGUCAGAUGUGAAAGCCCGGGGCUCAACCUCGGAAUAGCAUUUGAAACUGGCAGACUAGAGUACUGUAGAGGGGGGUAGAAUUUCAGGUGUAGCGGUGAAAUGCGUAGAGAUCUGAAGGAAUACCGGUGGCGAAGGCGGCCCCCUGGACAGAUACUGACACUCAGAUGCGAAAGCGUGGGGAGCAAACAGGAUUAGAUACCCUGGUAGUCCACGCCGUAAACGAUGUCUACUUGGAGGUUGUGGCCUUGAGCCGUGGCUUUCGGAGCUAACGCGUUAAGUAGACCGCCUGGGGAGUACGGUCGCAAGAUUAAAACUCAAAUGAAUUGACGGGGGCCCGCACAAGCGGUGGAGCAUGUGGUUUAAUUCGAUGCAACGCGAAGAACCUUACCUACUCUUGACAUCCAGAGAACUUUCCAGAGAUGGAUUGGUGCCUUCGGGAACUCUGAGACAGGUGCUGCAUGGCUGUCGUCAGCUCGUGUUGUGAAAUGUUGGGUUAAGUCCCGCAACGAGCGCAACCCUUAUCCUUGUUUGCCAGCGAGUAAUGUCGGGAACUCCAGGGAGACUGCCGGUGAUAAACCGGAGGAAGGUGGGGACGACGUCAAGUCAUCAUGGCCCUUACGAGUAGGGCUACACACGUGCUACAAUGGCGCAUACAGAGGGCAGCAAGCUAGCGAUAGUGAGCGAAUCCCAAAAAGUGCGUCGUAGUCCGGAUUGGAGUCUGCAACUCGACUCCAUGAAGUCGGAAUCGCUAGUAAUCGUGGAUCAGAAUGCCACGGUGAAUACGUUCCCGGGCCUUGUACACACCGCCCGUCACACCAUGGGAGUGGG
rnacentral:rRNA from 1 species